rnacentral:misc_RNA from 1 species
CAGAGUUGCAAAACUCCCACAAACCAUCGCGAAUCUUACCCGUACGGUCGCCUCGGCGCUGGCGGUCCGGAAGGCCCUCGGGCCCCCGGAUCCUCGGGUCUCCCGCUCGCGGGAGGCUGCCCGCCGGAGUGCCGAAACUAAACUCUUGAUAUCUUAUGUCUCUCUGAGUACACUUUUAAAUAAGUCA